AAACAACAAAGAAUCACCCAAGUUUAGGUGUUCACGGCCCAAGAUGAUCUUGGACCGUGAACUCCAAAAUCAUGGACCAAAGAGUGCUUUUGGCACUCCUAAAGUCUUGGACAAUUACCAAGGGUUACUCCUACAUAAAUCAAGGACAUUAAACCAUCAAAAACACCUUCCAAAGUGAGUUUACGGCCAUGACAUUAAAGGGCACCAAAGUGUGUCAAAGGCCUUCAUAUGCUUGGGAUAAAAGUCUAAGAUCUAUACCACAUGUACAAGAGACUUGAAAGCAUCAAAAACACCUUUCCUUAAUAGUUUACGACCGCAAACUCUAAGGGAAAUGGCCUUAGGGCCGUAAACUCCUCAAAGGAGUGUUUCUAUGCCUUAAACCCUUCCAAGAACUUAACCACCAAGUUGGAAUAAUUCUAGGGAUUAUUUAACACCUUAAAACAACCAAAGACAUUGUGUCUUGGAGUUUACGGCCGUAAACUCAAGAGUUUACAACCGUAAAGUCCAUGUGUGAGAAUAUAUGGAGAGUAAACUCAUAUAUGGGGUCCUUUGGAACCCUAAACCCAAGUGCAUUGUCCCACAAUAGCUAGAUGCAAUCCUUAGGGCUUAUAACACUUAUAUAAAGUGUUUAUUUUGUUCUAGAAAGUCUUGACAUUAUCAAUUAGUAAUUUAAGACUAAUUGAGUGCAUAUAUGUGUGAUUAUAUGUUCAUUAGGAUCGUAGUGUGUGUGCAAGUCCUGGUAACCACGGAUAACACUUACAUGGUUAUAUUUUUCCUAUUUACUUUAUUUUGUGAUAUAUUCACAUAAACGAUGAGUUAGAAUAAUUACUGUUUGUAGUAGUCAAAAUGAAGGAAAAACUAUCAUUUUACUAACAAAACAUUCGGGUCUUGGUAGAAGACUACAUUAUCAUAACAAAACAUUUGGGUCUUGGUAGAAGACUACAUUAUCAUAACAAAACAUUCAGGUCUUGGUAGAAGACUAUAUUGUCAUAACAAAACAUUCGGGUCUUGGUAGAAGACUACAUUAUCAUAAUAAAACAUUCGGGUCUUGGUAGAAGACUACAUUGUCAUAACAAAACAUUCAGGUCUUGGUAGAAGACUACUUUAUCAUAACAAAACAUUCGGGUCUUGGUAAAAGACUACAUUAUCAUAAUAAAACAUUCGGGACUUGGUAGAAGACUAUCAUAUACUAUUUCCUAUUUAUUUUAUUUUGUGAUACUUUCAUAUAAACGAUGAGUUAGACUAUGUACUUUAGUACUAGUCAAUAGAAGGAAAAACUAUCAUUUUACUUACAAAACAUUCGGGUCUUGGUAGAAGACUACAUCUCAAACUAAUAGAAAAUAAGGGAUUUUCUAGGGCUUUUCAUACUUAUAUCAACAUUUACAUUUAAAGGUUUACAUGACUUUUAAAACAACUUUUCAAAGCAAGUCAAUGACACUUAAAUACUUAUGAAUUCACUAGCUUUAAAGCUGAUACUCGCUUUCAGAAUAACUUGUAUUCUUAGGUCAUCAGUUAGACAGGUGCGAUGGCCAGGUUUUUGAGAAGAUGGAGCACAGACAAGGCUCGCCUUAUUUUGAAUAUUCAUUUUAUUGUUGCACAUUAUGAAAGAACACACAUGUAUUAAAACUUUACUUUUAACGCAAUGGAUGAUGUUGUUUCUUGUUUACUACUUUACACUGUUAUGAUACUUCACAUGACGUCCUCCACCCCGGAACGUUUCCGCCGUUCUUGGUUUUGGGGUGUGACAGAUUGGUAUCAGAGCAUUGUUUAUAGUGAAUUAAGUAUAUCAAACCAUAAAAGAUAUACUAACUAUAAACACAUAGGGAUUAAAACACUCUGUCUAAGAGUUUAUACUUUUAAAUAAUAAAACAUUUAACAAAGUAUACGUGCCUGCAUUCAUACUAAAAUCCGUGUCACAAUGACAAGAACAAAAGUAUUGAGAUUGUUGAAUAUCACAGGUAAGCUCGGGGAUGUAUGGUCAGUCUUGGGAGUGGCAUAGCCUGAUCAACUAUGUUGUUCCAAGGAGUGAUUAGCACAUGCCCAAGAAUGAUUGUGAUAUGACAACAAGUCUAAAAACUUACCAACAUUACCACAAUGAGAACAUUAUAACAGAACCUAAGUCUAAAAUACCAUAGGGGUGUUUUGUGUUACUAUAAGUACUUUAUACUUGAGAACUAAAAUGGAAUCUUCAUUCCUAAGUUGAUAAUUGCUAAGUGGAUACGCUAAAGUUAUAUGUAACUAGGAUGUUAUAGACUUAGAAUAGGUGAAAUUUUUGCUUUACCCCUAUUCCUUGUGAAUUUGGAGUUGAGGUCACUAUUUGAAGGUCUAUCCUGUGUUGAUUACAUAUAACUGGUAUGCACUUUACAAAUAGCGAUGGAACUAAUGAAGAUUUCCUAAAUAAUUAUCUAGAUAGUUCGUCUAAUAAUUAUUUUCUUACCCCAAAUUCUCGCGUAGAUAACAUGGCUGGAUUCCAUCCCCACGACAACCUGUUCCUUCCGAACGCGGUUAUUGCUGGAUGGUUUGGAGAAGAACCAGAUAAUGAUCAUCCAAUCCCUCUGAAUGAUCACCAUGCUGAAGACCUUUCAGACGAUGCCAUCUCCGAACCCGAGGUUGAGAACCUACCCCAGGCAGCUCCCUUUCCAAUUCCUAACCCUCGUCCGGCUUUUCAUGGCCCGACGCCUGAGUGGGUGGAAUGUUUGGAAACAUGGAGCCAAGGACAAGAUCAGCCCAUGCCAUUUAAUGGUGACUGAAGCUUCUAUGACCUGAGCAAUGGGGGCUCAGCAGACAUAAUCAUGCCAAUUCUGAUCCGAAGAGUUGCCCGAAACGAAAUUCAGGGCAUGACAGCUCUACAACGUAUCGCAGAAGUAGAUACAAAUGGAGGAAUGCAUAUGCUUCGCACCAGUCGCCUUGAACAUGCUCGUGAGAGGUCUGAGAGAGACCAUGAAACCUUGCUGCAAGCACUAGCUGAAUCACGAGCCGAAGUCAUAGAACUUCGAGUACGCCAGAGGGUGUACGAAAGACACCUACUUGAUGUGGAACGCCAACUGGCUGAACUGAGAGUUCACCAGAGGGAUGACCGUCACUAGUAGUAGAUACUUUACUUUAUUUUCCUGGUUAGAAAGGAAUCGUCUUUCUGUCUAUGCCCGAUGUGGCAUUUUCUAUGAAACUAUCUUGUACUGUAAGUACGUUAGUUAGGUCCUUAUGCUGUUAAGAACUAUCUUCUCUGGAUAUGACGUAAGACCUUUUACAAGGUCAUUUUCCCGAACCUGUACGUCAUGAAUAUCAAAGAUAUUGACAGUCGGCUAACUUCUGAGUCAUUCUUUAUUCAAAUACUCUUAUCAUACUUUCAUUAGAGUCUAUUUGAAACAUGCUCUAGUCAAGUCAUUGGAUUAUAGCCAUUUAACUCCGGAGACAUCUCCAAGUGUCUGGUAAUGGUUGGAUCAUGUUAUUCACCAAACAACAAUACCUCGGCUCGAACGACAAACAUCUUGAGACAUUGUACAAACUUACUUCCGAUCCUUGCUAGGACUGCAUCAUAGGGAUGUAGGUCGAACUUUAGAGAACAUACUUCUAUUCUUCAUGAGCGAUNCGUCUAGGUUCAACCAUUCUCGCUCACAAAUUCAUUUUCUUUCGGUGUAACAGAAUCAUGUCACCCAAGAAAAACGAUCAGCCCAUCAACCAAAUACCAACUCUUCAGAUUGAUGCAGCUACCUUUCAAGCUGCAGUCUCGGCUGCCGUGUCAGCUAUUCUGACCCAUCUGAAUGCUAACAACGCAAGUGUUAGCGGGAUUGUUAGCAACCAUUCCAAUCUAAGUAGCAAUCAACAACCGCAACGAGCAACAAACUACCACGAUACCCCGAGUGCCGAGACCAAGAGUAACAGCCGGAAGUUUUGGGCCAAAAGGAAGAACAAAUCGCUUCGAAGGGCGAAAAAGAAACAACCACCGAUAACGACCUUCAUAGCUAUGACAUCUGCAACUCCUACUACCAUUCCUUCUAGUGUCCCAAUUUUCCCUACACCAGCUAGACAAUAUUCCGGAAACCUACCGAAAUGCUAUGAGUGUAGCUUUUAUCAUCUGGGUAGUUGUCGACCGUUACACUGUUAUAAGUGCAAUAGGAAUGGACAUACUGCCAGUUACUGUAGGAUCCAGAUCCAACACAUUUCUUCAACCACCAAUGUCCAAACCUCUCAGAUAUGCCAUCUAUGUGGCAUCAUGGGACACUUCAAGAGGGACUGUCCAGCAGGGAAGGGCAACGAUGAAUCCGGAGGAGUUUGACCUCAGAAUGGGUAGAGGCAGUUAAGGACCCUAAUUUAGUAUAGGUUCCCUCCAAAUCGUCAGUAUUUUGUAUGUUCAAAAACAUGUUUAAAACUAGUGCAACGAGAGUCUUAUCUUUUGCGAGAUUCUGUCCGUUAAGGGACUCUUGUGCUGCGUAUACUUGUCUUUUGUAGUAUAAUUUGUUCGUAGCAGUAUUCCUAUAGUUACUCUAAAAAGUCUUGUAACUCUAUUAAUGGUUGCACUGUGGUGUUUUGUCUGUAACACCUUAUGAUCAAAAUCUAAUGUCUUUAGUUUCCAUAUGUUUCCGACUUUAUCAUACGACUCAAGUAAAUUUGAUCCUCGCAAUACCAGCUUCAUAAGUACAUCUCUUUCUCAGAAAUCGUCUUUUAGCGAAGCCGUGAUAUCAGAACACCGAAGUACUCAUACAAGGAGUACCUUAUAGUUCUUUUCCUUUCCGAAGGAAUCCCCACAGUAUUACUCGUGCAGUACGUCAAGUUCAAUUCCAGGAUUCAUACGGUUGAUCUAUCACUGAAGAAUGUAUACAUGAGAGUGAUAUAUAAUCAAUGUUCUACAUGUUUAGAAUUGAUGAUUCCACUUUAACUUCUUUUCCCUCGAUGGGAUGUGAGAUUAAGGAAGAAUCAGUUAUUCGACUACCUUUUCAAUCUUAAUUAUAUACGACUCGUAUACACGAAAUUGUGAUCAUUGAAUCAUGUAUGAAUUCUAAUAUGAACUUCAGGAUGGAGACUGUCCAGGAGUACGAGUAAUUGCAUUGGCAUAGGAACAAACUUAGAACCCGGUAUGACUCUUAUAACCAGAUCGCCUUCAGUCUAAACACCUACGGAAGAUACAAGAACAGCCCGGACAACACAACGAACUACUCAACAAUAGAAUUAGAAGACCAGGCUUCUCACCCUUGAGAGCUCCGGUCUUAUAAUUACCAGAAGUCGACGAAGUGCAUCUUAUGUACCUCGACGACCGAAGACUUCAUUAAGAUUUCCUUUAGAAAUUGUUGUCUCUGCCUCGCAUAGACGAACUGACUGAGCAACCACAUGGAAAGUAUUACUUUCAGAAAUGGACAUGAGAUCCGAUUAUCACCAGUUCGAAUGAUAGGGAAGAAUGUCCUGAAGACUAGCUUCCGAACUCGAUGCAGACACUGCGAGUCCGAAGUGAUACCCCUCAGAUUGGACCCAUACGCCUAUAGUAUUCAUAAGCUAAAUGAGUGGACUUACUGGGAUCAGUUCGUCAUCUCUCCAUGUAAUGACUUACUUAUCUACCCUCAUAGUAAGAAAGAACUCAUAGAAACAUUACCCUCGGAGAUACUUUUCGCAAUGUUCUCUGAACAAGAGUUUUGGAUUUAAGAGUCAAAUUUCCUGAGACACACUAUUAGUGAUGUGGAAAUUCUUGAGUACUCUGUCAAAUUUUCCAAAAACGUUGGGGAUUUGUCGGCACCGUAGUCACCGACGGGAAAAUUCGCCAAAUACUAGGUCUUACAGACCUACUAUCAUAGUCCAACCAGAACCCCUCACAAAUUUCAGAAACCAUUUCGACUUUAACCCAACAAGGGGCGGCCCUUGACUGGGAAGUUAAGCAAUAGAAAGAACCUUUGGAAUUCCAAGUGAGAGACCAAAUUCUUUAGGAAACCUCACUCUGGGAACGGCUUAAUACGCUUCGUAAAACGUGGGAAGCUAAAUCCAAUGUAGUUGGGACCUUCGAGAUUCUUACCAAGAAUCGGUCCUGUAUCUCACCGACUGGACCCACUCCGUGAACUCAGUAUAUACAUUCUACUAUUCGCGUCUCGAUCGUGAAACCAUAAUUUUCCAUUAGGACUCUUGUAAGUCCACUCGUCGAGAUCCUCGCCUUCGUAUUAGAACCGUAGUGACCCUCGACCGAGAGGUCAAGCGGACAAAGCAACGCCGUCGCCCGUUAGUGAAGGUUCGUUUGGAUACUAACCGAGAACCCGAUUUCACUUAGGAGUGCGAGAACCAAUCGAUUAGGAAGUUCACAUAACGACUCGAUCAUUCGUACAUACUUCCUUUCCUGAAUUCUAAUUUCGGGACGAAAUUCCCUUUAAUAGGGGGAUGAUGUGACAACCCGAAAUUUCCAUUCUGAACAAACAAUAUCACUUCAAUAGAAGUUAUAUCAGUCACAGUUGAUUUUCAGACUUUUUAGUAUAAGUUUGAGUUCUUCAGGGUUUACACUUCAGGAAAUAUCAGGAGAGUGGAUGCACUAGGGUUUUAUGCAACACUGUUAUUCCAACACUCUGUUAUAUUAGAAAUCAUUUCAGGAAUAAAAAUGUUUUCUACCAAAAAUAUCUCAGGACUAUAAAUAGAAUUUUGAACCAAAUUCAUUCAUUAUUCGCAUUUCCAACUAGAGAAAAGCCAUUUUCUCUCUCACAGAUCUUUGGGUUUUUAUCCCAAAUCAUGAGUACCUCUCUCUAGUAGUGUUAUAUAGCUUAAAAUGUGUUCAUAACGUAGAUUACAUAGCUAAAUCACUAGAUUUAGGAGUUUACUCCCCACCGUGUUCUUGGGCGGUAAACUCCCGAAACAAAGCCUAGACUUUCCCCCGUGAUAUGCUACUACCUUGGACUUGUAUAGAAGUGUAUUAGGGACAAGAAAACAACAAAGAAUCACCCAAGUUUAGGUGUUCACGGCCCAAGAUGAUCUUGGACCGUGAACUCCAAAAUCAUGGACCAAAGAGUGCUUUUGGCACUCCUAAAGUCUUGGACAAUUACCAAGGGUUACUCCUACAUAAAUCAAGGACAUUAAACCAUCAAAAACACCUUCCAAAGUGAGUUUACGGCCAUGACAUGGUUCUUGGGCCGUAAAAAUGAUUAAAGGGCACCAAAGUGUGUCAAAGGCCUUCAUAUGCUUGGGAUAAAAGUCUAAGACCUAUACCACAUGUACAAGAGACUUGAAAGCAUCAAAAACACCUUUCCUUAAGAGUUUACGACCGCAAACUCUAAGAGAAAUGGCCUUAGGGACGUAAACUCCUCAAAGGAGUGUUUCUAUGCCUUAAACCCUUCCAAGAACUUAACCACCAAGUUGGAAU
rnacentral:lncRNA from 1 species